UGUAGAGAAGGCUAGGGAUCUGGAUUCCCCCUUGAUAAUGUUAUUUUCAACAAUUAAAUUUUUGCGAUUCUUGAUUAAGGAUUAAUUAGAUAGAAUAGUUUUAAGCAUGGAAUAUAUACUUUGAAAACAUGAAUUCAACAUUCAAGUAUUUAUCGUGCCGGUUACGUCUACGAUAAAUCAAAAAUCGAAACAACCCAUGCAUCAAUAAAUAUAAACCGUACAAGAUCUAUCUAACAAAUAAGUAUGCAAGAACCAAGAGCAUAUAAUAGAUGUAAAUCAAAGAAAAUAAUCGUUCAGAAUUUACUUGAAGAAAGCAAACUAUCAAGGGUUCUUCCAUCACCCUUGACCAAAGGUGUUAGCCUCCCAUUACAAAAACAAUAGCCUUUCCCUCUCUAGCCUUUCCCUCUCUUGUUCUUUUUUUUUUUUUUUUUUUCUUUUCGGAAACAGGGCAUACCCUGUUUCCUUCUUCUCUUUUCCCUCAACCGCGGAGGCCGGCCGCUCCUCUUUUCUUCUUCAACGGCUCCCCUGUUUUCUUCCUCAAAUCGGAGCUCCCCCUUUCGGAUCAGAGGCCUCCUCAUAUAGGCUAGGAUUCCCCUAAUCGCGCGUGGAGGAGAUUGCGGGCGGAUCCGGCGUUAAGAACGGACGCCGAGGAUCGUGCAAGGGAGGCUGAGGUCUGGGAGAUUCAAAUGGAUGAGAGCUGCGGCAGGAUCUUCGAAUGCUGGGAGGCGUGUGAAACGGGCGGAAGAAGGGGCGUUGAUCGAGAUGCUGGAGAUGGAAAUGGCUGCAUCGCUGGGGAGAAGCUCGGACGGACGCCAUGGAUCACUCGCAGGAGGCGAUCGCGGGGGCUUCACGGACGCUUGAGAUGCUGCUCCUCGGACGUGAAUUUGGGUAUAAGCUGAUCCGGAGGCUGAAGAUUUGCUGGGAACGAAGGCUGGCUUGAUUCGCGGAGAGGAUUGGGCGCGGAAGGAAACGGACGGGAUGAAGGUGGAUCCAUCGUGGGACGCUGGAGGUUGAGCCCUGUUUUGAGAAAGUUAAAAAAAAAUGUGUGGAUUCGGUUGGAAGCGAUGAGCCGUGAGCUGAGCUGGGAUUGGCUUGGACCGUGGACGCGGGAUUGGGUUGAUCACGGAAGAUGGAAUAUGGGAUUUGGACGUUGAAGCGCGAGCUCCUUCAAAUGGACGCCUGAGAUUGUGCACGGGAGCCGGGAUGCGUGGAUGCGGCCGGAUUGGGGCUUGUACGCUCGGGCUCGCUGAAUAAGAAUCAUGUACUCUAUUCUGCAGUUGGGAAGAUGCAUUCUUUUUAGUUGAAUUUAUCUAAAAUAAUGAUAAAAAUUACAAUAAGUGCUAAGGAUAAUAUUUAAUCGUGCAAAUGUUAACACCUAUUAUUUAUCAUUAUUUUGCUAGCAUUAAGUUAAGUUAAAUGGUACUUAGAUCGCACUUUUGUGCUCUCAUCAGUAGUAUGAUACUUUAAAGGCCAGUUGAGGGCAAGACGGUUUACCUUAACCUUGGAAAUCUCUCAAGACUUGAGGGAGGUCUAAAAAAAAGAUGGGAGGUAAGGUUUGAUGUGUGGAACUGUAAAGCAAAUGUGAUAGAUAUGGAAGUUCAUGAUAAUGUUUGUAGCUAUUCAUCUAGAUAAUGAAGUGGUCAAACAAUACAUGAAGCUCACUGGUGACAGUGGGCUUGGCUAAAUAGGAGUAAACGGAAAAAAGAACUUAAGGAGAGCCAGAUCUAGUUAGUUAAAGCAAUGCUGUUUAUGGUUACAGUAUCAAACUUCUAGUUUGGGUCUAGUUUGGGUCUGUCGAUGAUAUAGGAUUUAUUUUCAUGGUUCAGUUUUGUAUGUUGCAGAUUUUGAAGAUAGGCAUUUGGUUUUCAUUUUUCAUAUAAAUUAUGUUUGGAACUUGUGAGAUUGUUGAUUGUAGCACUGCCUGCAAAAAUGGGAUGCUACCAUUUCUGUUCUAUGAAAAAUGCCACUAAUUCUAAUAUUCAUCUUGGAUGCCAUUAAAGAGUCUAUCUUCAUUUGUGGUCAUGUAUGCUUGUCCUCUACUUGCAACUAUGCAUUUUGACUGAUCUCUCUCUCUCUCUCUCUUUAAGCUAAGCUUAUUAGUCCUGUAUGUUAUUGUUACUAUUUCUGCAAUUUACAAUGGUAGGCGCUGGAUACGUGCCACAUUCUGCAAUGUGGGGCCAUUCUGAUUCCCACCAAUUAUUGCCUUCAACUAGUAGUUGCUAGCUUGAUGGUUAAGUGGGAUAACUAUGCAUGGACCCGUUGAAAGGUGAGUCAUGCUUUUCUAAUAUAAGAAAUGAAUAGGUCGAUGGUUUAUGUAGUUAUAGCUACUACCUUGUAGCCACCAUACUUCUUCAAUGAGAAUGUGAAUCUGGGGCUUGAUACUCGGAUGAGAUUGACCUGCUGAUACAAAUUCAAAGUUUGUGUACAUUUCUUGAUCAUGGAAUUUUUAUAAGCCUUCGCUGUGGCAACUUAAAUUGUAAUUUGAUGAUAGCCAAAACUUGUAGAACCAUAUGUUCGUGAAUUUUUAAGCUCUCGGAGCUUCUUGGGGUCUGGAAGCUGCUCUGACAUAGAAGUAUUGAAGAUGAUAGGAAAUGCAAAGAUUUAUCAGUAAAUUAAGGGUAAAAACAGCAUUCUAAUGCAUGAGGCUUAUGCUAUUAUGGGGUCAGAUGUAUGCAACUUUAUUUCUGUCUAUAAAAAUGUUAUUUCUGUA